rnacentral:rRNA from 1 species
GACGAACGCUGGCGGCGUGCCUAAUACAUGCAAGUAGGACGCACAGCCUAUACCGUAGCUUGCUACACCAUAGGCUUGAGUUGCGAACGGGUGAGUAACGCGUAGGUAACCUGCCUAUUAGAGGGGGAUAACUAUUGGAAACGAUAGCUAAUACCGCAUAACAGUAUGUAACACAUGUUAGAUGCUUGAAAGAUGCAAUUGCAUCGCUAGUAGAUGGACCUGCGUUGUAUUAGCUAGUAGGUAGGGUAAUGGCCUACCUAGGCAACGAUACAUAGCCGACCUGAGAGGGUGAUCGGCCACACUGGGACUGAGACACGGCCCAGACUCCUACGGGAGGCAGCAGUAGGGAAUCUUCGGCAAUGGGGGGAACCCUGACCGAGCAACGCCGCGUGAGUGAAGAAGGUUUUCGGAUCGUAAAGCUCUGUUGUUAAGGAAGAACGAGUGUGAGAAUGGAAAGUUCAUACUGUGACGGUACUUAACCAGAAAGGGACGGCUAACUACGUGCCAGCAGCCGCGGUAAUACGUAGGUCCCGAGCGUUGUCCGGAUUUAUUGGGCGUAAAGCGAGCGCAGGCGGUUAGAAAAGUCUGAAGUGAAAGGCAGUGGCUCAACCAUUGUAGGCUUUGGAAACUGUUUAACUUGAGUGCAGAAGGGGAGAGUGGAAUUCCAUGUGUAGCGGUGAAAUGCGUAGAUAUAUGGAGGAACACCGGUGGCGAAAGCGGCUCUCUGGUCUGUCACUGACGCUGAGGCUUGAAAGCGUGGGGAGCGAACAGG